AACCUAGCACACCUGCGGUGUGUACCUGCGGAAGGAUCAUUAAAAAAAUCUUUUGCCCGCGGACCUUUUGUCGUCCAAGGCGCAAAAAGACCCACACCUGUGUGCACUGUUAUCGUUUCUUUGGCAGGGGCUUGGGUGGAAUUUUUUUUCCCUCAACUUCUCCUUCGGCUCUAUCCUUUCUCUCGGGGGGAGGACAGCUGGACAUGGGAAGCAGUUUACCCUGCCAAGUAAACCUCAAAC
rnacentral:misc_RNA from 1 species